rnacentral:rRNA from 1 species
GACGAACGCUGGCGGCGUGCUUAACACAUGCAAGUCGAACGGAAAGGCCCGGCUUUUGUGGGGUGCUCGAGUGGCGAACGGGUGAGUAACACGUGGGUAACCUGCCUUUGAGUUUGGGAUAACUUCAGGAAACUGGGGCUAAUACCGGAUAGGAGUUCCUGUUGCAUGGUGGGGGUUGAAAAGUUUCGGUGGUUGGGGUUGGACGCGCGGCUUAGUAGCUUUUUGGUGGGGUAGUGGUUUACCAAGGCUUUGACGGGUAGCCGGCCUGGGAGGGUGACCGGCCACAGUGGGACUGAGAUACGGCCCAGACUCCUACGGGAGGCAGCAGUGGGGAAUAGUGCACAAUGGGCGGAAGCCUGAUGCAGCAACGCCGCGUGCGGGAUGACGGCCUUCGGGUUGUAAACCGCUUUCGCCUGUGACGAAGCGUGAGUGACGGUAAUGGGUAAAGAAGCACCGGCUAACUACGUG